ensembl:snoRNA
AUCCUUUUGUAGUUCAUAAGUGUGAUGAUUCGGUGUUCACAUGCAUGUAUGAGAUGUGCCGCCCUCAAACCUUGUUAUGACGUGGUCCAUUCCCCAUCCGAUG